UUAGUUGAAGCCAAAAAGAGGCCAAUCACUGUUGAUGAUUAAACUGAUUUAUAUCCGACUGUC
rnacentral:tRNA from 1 species